UACGAGGGGAGCAAGCGUUGUUCGGAUUUACUGGGCGUAAAGGGCGCGUAGGCGGCGUGACAAGUCACUUGUGAAAUCUCCGGGCUUAACUCGGAACGGUCAAGUGAUACUGUCGUGCUAGAGUACAGAAGGGGCAACUGGAAUUCUCGGUGUAGCGGUGAAAUGCGUAGAUAUCGAGAGGAACACCUGCGGCGAAGGCGGGUUGCUGGGCAUUAACUGACGCUGAGGAGCGAAAGCAUGGGGAGCGAACAGG
rnacentral:rRNA from 1 species